ensembl:lncRNA
GUGCUGUACGGUGUACAUUUUAGGACAUCGUCAGGUAUCAGAAAAAAAAUUGUCAGGUGUCAGUUGUCAAAAAAAAAAUUGUCAGGUAUCAGAAAAAAAAUUGUCAGGUGUCAGUUGUCAAAAAAAAAAAGUCAGGUAUCAGACAAAAAAUUGUCAGGUGUCAGAAAAAAAGUUGUCAGGUAUCAGAAAAAAAAUUGUCAGGUGUCAGAAAAAAAGUUGUCAGGUGUCAGAAAAAAAGUUGUCAGGUGUCAGAAAAAAAAUUGUCAGGUGUCAGAAAAAAAAUUGUCAGGUGUCAGAAAAAAAGUUGUCAGGUGUCAGAAAAAAAAUUGUCAGGUGUCAGAAAAAAAGUUGUCAGGUGUCAGAAAAAAAAUUGUCAGGUGUCAGAAAAAAAAUUGUCAGGUGUCAGAAAAAAAGUUGUCAGGUGUCAGAACACAAGGUACCAGAGAGAAAAUCUUCCUGCAGGUGGCGCUGUUGUCAUGUCCCACCCGAAUUGAUUUCCAAAUACGUCAUCAACGUGUGACCGUGGGAGAGCGUAAGGUCAUUGACCUCACCGGAGUUUUACCGUGGUUCAGGCUCCUAACGACACAAGGUAAGUUUAACUUUUUCUCCCUUUUGUUCAUAUUUUUGCCACAGUUGUGUUAUAUUAAGUUGC